GCUAGUAGUGGGCAUAAGACCUCAGCUUCUUUUCUGUCGCUGUGAAGCUUGUCUCUUCUCCAAUCAUCGGAGUAACUGUGGGCGGCUCAGCACUCAUUCUAAAACAAAGCCAAACCUCCCGUCAACCAUGUCCUCUAAAACAUCAGAGCAGAGCCUCGUGACUGAGUCUAGACCUGUUGAUGAGGAUGCAGCCACAAAUAAGAAACCAACCACAUUUUGGAAAGCUGAUCCUGUAUCCACGGCAAGUGUCACGAAAGUUGUUGAAUGGGAAGAUAAAAAGGAAUCGAAGGGCAUCGCGGCAGCUCUGGGCCUACCCCUCAGCCUGGAGGAGACUCCAGCCUUUGCUUCACUUGGGGUUGGUAACGUGGAGGAAUUGGCCAGCUUGUCCACAGACCAGCCUCUCUCUGAUGUUCAAACGGAGGCAUUUAAGGCUUUUUACAAGCAAGAGCGGAAAUCAAAGUCGGAGGGGCAGCAGUCCUUGGUGCCACCAGUGGUCCUGGGGGCUGCCUCAGAGGAGGACAGCACAGCCUGGGGGGAUGACGAUGAAGAGGAUUUCCAGAACUUUCUUUCUUUUCUGACGGACAACAGCAAAUUAUCUGCGUGUCUGAAAGGUGAAGCAGUGGCUGAGUCUGACAAAGAGUUUUAUAAAACCCUUCACAGGAUUCUGCAUGCUGAAAACAUCCCCAGCUCUUCACAGAAAGAGAUAGAGAGGUAUUACCAUCUAAGAACUCGUCAACUUUUGUCUUUCGAGGAGAAACAGGUGAUCAGCUAUUACGCCCAGGGAGCCAACCUGUCGGGACUGCCGUCAAGUCAGUUGUGGAAAUAUAUACUGCCAGAUGGGCCUCAGGGCAUAAGCCCUUAUUCCAAGCGACCAUCCCUGAACACUAGGCCACCCCGGAAAUUCACAACAGCACCAAAGAUACAGCAUAUCAAAUCCAACAAAAGCAACAGGACUAUGGAGAUAGAAGAUCGCAUUAGACAGCUGACACUGAAACGAGAAGGGAUGGAGACUAAUGCGAGGAUCACACCUGUGAAAAUUAAGGUCCAUCUAAAAGUUAAGAACAGAGAGGAGCUGACCUAUGACAACAUUAACCAGAUUAGAAGAAAGGCUGAUGAGGGGUCAAACUUGUACCUUCACACCCUGACCCAGUGUAAGAAGUGGGACACGUUGCAGUCAUGGGGGUGCCUGCAUCGCUUCUACCCCACCCUGUCAGACUGCGUCAACUUCCCAGAGGUCUUCUCCACCUACAGCUGGAGCUGGAGUGGCAGGAAGAACAUGGUGGAGAUCUGGGAGCUGGGGAAGAACAAGGGGGCAGCUGCACCCCCAUCCUCCCCUGCCUCCUCUGCUCUGCCCAAAUCAACAUGACCUAUCAGACUCAACUUACAAUCUCCCUGGAGGCCAAGCCAAAUACCCCCCACCCCCCACAACACACUCACACAC
ensembl:lncRNA